AACACUAUCCCCACCAGGCACUAAUCAGUUCCGUCUCUCCUGCCUCUGCUCCUCCAACUCCCUCCACCUUCCUCCGUUUUACUCUGCAACCAAAUCAUCUGCUUACAGAUACAUUUUUUUUCCUGCAAAAAGACACGAAAGAAGGAGAAACUUUCCACUCCUAAUGAAUAUGAGGAUCUUGAUAAGUCUUGAUUCCAAGAUGCCUUUCCAGAACAGAACCCAGACAUGUGAGUCGCUGGCCGCAACAGAUCUGGCGCCCACGCGGGACUGAGAAACGGCAGAGGACAUUUGGAAGAAACACUGCUGGUUUGGAGCUCCAUAGAAGAAGAAAAUAAUUAAAGGAAAUUCAUACCGGAGAAGGCCCAAAGAUGAUGUUGGAUCUCCUGGAGCUGGAAUUACAAGUUGUGAGCUACAAGAGGUCUGAGCUACAAGAAGUAAGUUGUAAACAGUCGUGACUCAGAUGCAUGUCUUCUAGAAGAGCAGUGAGCGCUCUCAACUGUGGAUCCAUCUCUUCAGUCCCAAGUUUCUGAACUUCUUUAUGGAACUGAAAUCAAACCCAGAACCUUGCAUAUUCUAUGUAAGGUUUAUUUUAAAAUCUAGGGAGUGUUCUGGAAGAGAUUUUUUUCCCUUGAAAAGUCUGAAAUCUAGCAACUCUGAGCCUACUCUGACAAGCAACUGAAUAGACCAUUCUGCACAGACUAGGUGUGUAUCUCAUAUCAGGCAAAUAUACUUUCUUAUAGAUCUGUGAGAGUGAGUCUAAUAACUGUAGAGGGAAUCUUUUGUACAAUGUAUGGAAGUAUCACCUAUCAAUAAAAAAGCUUAUGGCCAAUGAGCUGAGGCAGGAUUAGAAGGUGGGAUAUCUUUCAGAGAGAGAGAGGAAGAGAAAGACAGACAGAAACAGACAGAGAGAGAGAGACAGAGAGAGUCAGAGACAGAGAGAGACACAGAGAGAGAGAGAUACAGAGACAGAGAGAGGAGUCUGGGAGAGAGACAGUCUUGGGAAGAGUGAUUCACCCCAGAAUGCUGAAGUAGACAGCAGCAAUAACCAUGCUCAUGGCCGAACUUAAUAGAAUAACAGGAUGAUUAAGUUAUGAGCUACUCAUGGAACAAUCCAAGGCUCUUGUCCUAGGCAGUUAUUUCUAAUAAUUCAGUCUCAGAGUUGUUAUUUCCGGCAACUUGGGCACGGGUGGAAAGCCUAAGGUUAUAAAUAGCCAGUUGCCAUUUAUCUUCUCCUGGCACAGUCCCAUGCAUUGAUCUAUGUAACCUGGCUAGGGAGAAAGUCAAAAUAUCAAACAAGUAGACAAAUAAAUUGAAAAUUUUAUUGAUU
rnacentral:lncRNA from 1 species